AAGAAAUUUAAUAAUUUUGAAAAUGGAUUUUUUUUGUUUUGGCAAGAGCAUGAGAGCUUUUACUGGGCAAGAAGACAAGAGAUGGAGAGUCCAGCCGGGCCUGCGCUUAAGUGCGCGGUCUUGCUAGGCUUGUAAGUUUCUUUCUUGCUAUUCCAAACGGUGAGAGAUUUCUGUGCUUUUGUUAUAGGACAAUUAAAACCGUUUCAAUACAACACACUGUGGAGUUUUCAUAUCUUUGCAACUUUUUCUUUGGGCAUUCGAGCAAUCGGGGCCCAGAGGUAACAAACACAAACAAUUUUAUUUAUUCAUUAAAUUUUUGUCAAAAACAAGAAUUUUCGUAACUGGAAAUUUUAAAAUAUUAA
rnacentral:rRNA from 2 species